UCCAAGAAUCAUGGAAGUAUUCAUGAUUAGUUACUUCAUUUUAUGCUGUGUACUGCCUGUGACAACAACACAAUGCUAUACAACAGACAGCAGGCCUGAAUGUCAACCAAAACACUGCUGAUUGAACACAAACACCAUUCAUUGGCUUUAUUAUGACACAGAUCAUAAAAAUAUUCAGACACUUUACUCCAGAGAUUUCAGGACUUCAGACUGCCACAGGUCCUGUAUCUGAGACCCAGAUGACAGAAACAUACAGAGGUGGACUCCUCGUGCCACUGCCAAUCGAUUUGCUCUCCACUCACCCAACCACCUGCUUGCAGUUACUGAUCUUCUUCCCUUCAGCAUCCAAAACCCAGCAGUGUACGACUACCCUGUGCCACCUCCCGCGGGAGCCACGCGACCCACUGCCUUCACCCACUCUCCAGAGGAAUUCCCCUGCCCCCAUGGUUUCAAGCUGCCCAUUUGCCAAAUGCGUUGCAAGAUCUGCCAGAUUCUGAAGCCCAAAAGACAAGGCUGCCACAGAAAAUAGGGGAUAAGAGCAGACUGUGUCUUCAACAGUAUGGAUUUUUCCUUGUAAAAUUAAACUACUUUCUACUUCUCAAAUAAAUAACCUGUGAGAAGCA
rnacentral:lncRNA from 1 species